GUUUCUGUAGUUGAAUAAUACAACAGUGGUUUUUCAGACCACUGGUCUUGGGUGCCGCCAAGCAGAAACU
rnacentral:tRNA from 1 species